UUAACAUAAACCGCAUCGUAUAUCUGACCAGUGACUCGUUGUUCUGUGGUGUUUGAUGUUUUUCAGAAGCCCUUCUGUUGAGGUGGACACCAAGAGUGAGAAUACUUCAUCAUCCGAGGGAGCCAACGGUACCCUGCUGAUCCACAGCCCCGCAGAACUCAAAAGCGGCUGGAGGAAGCAGAAGGGGUACCUCUCCUCAUUUAGUGAUUCGUUGCUUGCGUCUAAUACCACGUAUCAAAAGAACUUUAAGAUAAAAGAUAAAACACCACUGAGAACCAUGUGAACUGCCAACCAUAUACACAAGGCUGGUGAAGCCGGCGUCGUUGCCAGAAAGUCCUUUGUCCUGGGCUGACCCCCGGUGAGCUUUGUGGCCCCCUUCAGGUGAGACCUACAGCUUGGUGUCCUGGAUCUACGUGGGUUCAAAACGAGGACAUUUUCAUCUGCUUGCAUAUUAAGCCAGUGACUCACUUCUUGACUGACCAUAAUGACACACAUGGGCUUCCCUGGUGGCUCAGUGGUCAAGAAUCUGCCUGUAAUGUAGGAGACUUGCGGAAGAUGCCCACUCAACCCCUGGGUCAGGAAGAUCCCCUGGAGGUGGAAAUGGCAACCCACUCCAGUAUUCUGCCUAGGAAAUCCCAUGGACAGAGGAGCCUGGCGGGCUACAGUCCAUGCGGUUACAGAAAGAGUCGGACACGACUGCGUGGCAUAAACAACAGCAAAUGACACACAUGCCUUGUGCUUUUCCCUCCUAAAAAGGUUCUCAUGUGCAAAUGCAUGCAUGUGGAUAGUAACAGUGGAAAUGACCGCAGUGAUUUCCUUUGGUUUUGAUCAGUGGUUUUUCAGAUGGGCUAUGUGAGCUACUUGGGAAGCCAGAUCCUCUUGUGUUCAUGGUAUCCUUGUAUGAGGAAGGAGGAUCAUGAGAGCAAGACUCUAGGACCCCUCACCAAUAUCCUGCCCUCAAUCCCGAUUAUCUUUCUUGAAAAAGUACAAUUAUAUUUGAAAAACUGACUUUAUACUCCCAAAUUAAUUCCCUUUAAAAUGGGAUUUAAUUAUACACAUAACAUUAAUUGUGUCAUCAAAUACUAGGUUGCCUGAAUUGCUGUGUACAAAUAAUCUUAUUUGGUGUGUGUAGAAGGGUGACAGUAAAACACAGCUACGAUUCCAUGGAGCACAGGUCAGUUUUCCAAUUACAUUCUUAGACUGGAGUGAGGACGGGGAAUGUGAAUAUCCCAAGUUGACAGUCCCGGGUUCACCAGCGUCAUGAAACAUUCACCGCUGCCACU
rnacentral:lncRNA from 1 species